AAAAAAAGAAAGAAAAAGAAAAGAAAAAGAAAGAACGAAAAUAAGAUAGAAGGAAAAAAAGAAUACUACCUUGCAUGCUCGCUCCCAUAUGUCUCUCAUGCUCUUCCAUGUCUAUGCUUUUCCCCUGCCUUCCACUCUCUUCUC
rnacentral:ribozyme from 18 species